GAUGAACGCUGGCGGCGUGCCUAAUACAUGCAAGUCGAGCGAACGGACGAGAAGCUUGCUUUUCUGAUGUUAGAGGCGGACGGGUGAGUAACACGUGGAUAACCUACCUAUAAGACUGGGAUAACUUCGGGAAACCGGAGCUAAUACCGGAUAAUAUUUUGAACCGCAUGGUUCAAAAGUGAAAGACGGUCUUGCUGUCACUUAUAGCUGGAUCCGCGCUGCAUUAGCUAGUUGGUACGGUAACGGCUUACCAAGGCAACGAUGCAUAGCCGACCUGAGAGGGUGAUCGGCCACACGGGAACUGAGACACGGUCCAGACUCCUACGGGAGGCAGCAGUAGGGAAUCUUCCGCAAUGGGCGAAAGCCUUACGGAGCAACGCCGCGUGAGUGAUGAAGGUCUUCGGAUCGUAAAACUCUGUUAUGAGGGAAGAACAGAUGUGUAAGUAACUGUGCACAUCUUGACGGUACCUAAUCAGAAAGCCACGGCUAACUACGUG
rnacentral:rRNA from 1 species